rnacentral:rRNA from 1 species
AUACGUAGGGAGCGAGCGUUGUCCGGAAUUACUGGGUGUAAAGGGAGCGUAGGCGGGAGUGCAAGUCAGAUGUGAAAUACAUGGGCUCAACCCAUGGGCUGCAUUUGAAACUGCAUUUCUUGAGUGAAGUAGAGGUAAGCGGAAUUCCUGGUGUAGCGGUGAAAUGCGUGGAUAUCAGGAGGAACACCGGUGGCGAAGGCGGCUUACUGGGCGUUUACUGACGCUGAGGCUCGAAAGCGUGGGGAGCAAACAGGAUUAGAUACCCUGGUAGUCCACGCUGUAAACGAUGAUUACUAGGUGUGGGGGGACUGACCCCUUCCGUGCCGCAGUUAACACAAUAAGUAAUCCACCUGGGGAGUACGGCCGCAAGGUUGAAACUUAAAGGAAUUGACGGGG